rnacentral:rRNA from 1 species
UACGUAGGGUGCGAGCGUUGUCCGAAGUUACUGGGCGUAAAGCGCGCGUAGGCGGUUAUUUAAGUCUGUGGUGAAAGGUUCAGCGCUCAACGCGAACAUUGCCCUGGAUACUGGAUGACUUGAGUCUGGGAGAGGGUAGUGGAAUUCCUGGUGUAGCGGUGAAAUGCGUAGAUAUCAGGAGGAACACCGGUGGCGAAGGCGACUACCUGGCCUAAGACUGACGCUGAGGUGCGAAAGCGUGGGGAGCGAACGGG